rnacentral:snRNA from 1 species
GCUCACUUCAGCAGCAUAUACUAAAAUUGGAACGAUACAGAGAAGAUUAGCAUGGCCCCUGUGCAAGGAUGACAUGCAAAUUCGUAAACUGUUGCAUAUUUUU